rnacentral:rRNA from 1 species
AACGAACGCUGGCGGCAUGCCUAACACAUGCAAGUCGAACGAGACCUUCGGGUCUAGUGGCGCACGGGUGCGUAACGCGUGGGAAUCUGCCCUUGGGUUCGGAAUAACAGUUAGAAAUGACUGCUAAUACCGGAUAAUGUCUUCGGACCAAAGAUUUAUCGCCCAGGGAUGAGCCCGCGUAGGAUUAGCUAGUUGGUGAGGUAAAGGCUCACCAAGGCGACGAUCCUUAGCUGGUCUGAGAGGAUGAUCAGCCACACUGGGACUGAGACACGGCCCAGACUCCUACGGGAGGCAGCAGUGGGGAAUAUUGGACAAUGGGCGAAGGCCUGAUCCAGCAAUGCCGCGUGAGUGAUGAAGGCCUUAGGGUUGUAAAGCUCUUUUACCCGGGAUGAUAAUGACAGUACCGGGAGAAUAAAGCCCCGGCUAACUCCGUGCCAGCAGCCGCGGUAAU